rnacentral:rRNA from 1 species
AUUGAACGCUAGCGGGAUGCCUUACACAUGCAAGUCGAACGAGUGGCGGACGGGUGAGUAAUAUAUCGGAACGUGCCCAGUAGCGGGGGAUAACUACUCGAAAGAGUGGCUAAUACCGCAUACUAUUGGAUCGGCCGAUAUGGGAUUAGCUAGUCGGUGGGGGAAAGGCUCACCGAGGCAACGAUCCGUAGCUGGUCUGAGAGGACGAACGGCCACACUGGGACUGAGACACGGCCCAGACUCCUACGGGAGGCAGCAGUGGGGAAUAUUGCACAAUGGGCGCAAGCCUGAUGCAGCCAUGCCGCGUGUAUGAAGAAGGCCCUAGGGUUGUAAAGUACUUUCAGUCGGGAGGCGUUACCGACAGAAGAAGCACCGGCUAACUCCGUGCCAGCCGCCGCGGUAAUAC